CAAUAGCGUAUAUUAAAGUUGUUGCAGUUAAAAAGCUCGUAGUUGAAUUUCUGUCAGGAGUGACCGGGCCUUUGGAUGAACUUCCAUUGUUUUUUGCUCUGUUUGUCAUCUCUAGACAUCCUGAAAUAUUUUUUAAAAAUAUUUCUCUUUUACUGUUAGCAAAAUAGAGUGUUCCAAGCAAAGCGUAGUUUUGAAUACAUUAGAAUGGAAUAAUAAGAUAGGACUUUGGUGCUAUUUUGUUGGUUUGCACACCAAGGUAAUGAUUAAUAGGGACAGUUUGGGGUAUUCGUAUUUAAUUGUCAGAGGUGACAUUCUUGGAUUUAUGAAAGACGAACUACUGCGAAAGCAUUUACCAAGGAUGUUUUCAUUAA
rnacentral:rRNA from 1 species